UAGUUGCUAUGGGGUGUGCACAAAAUAUGUCCAGUGUGAAAAAGUGUUGCAAACCGCAUAUGAUUCGCAAACAGCAAAUGAUUGGGAAUGCAAAGAUGAAACUAGGAACAGGGAGGCUCUUUACAUUAAUGGAGAUUCCUGCCAACUCCAAUGCACAAGUCCCUUACGUGAGCGAGAAAAUGUGAAAGAUGGCACCGUAUUAAAAGACGAAUCUAUAUGUUUUGAUGGAUAUAAAUACAAAUUAUCCAACGAACAGUUUUAUAACAAAAGAGAAUAUAGAAGGAUAGAUGGAGGCUGCGAUUAUGAUAAAUAGUCAAAAAUAAAAUUCUUAUUUAUUAAAAAAAUAUUUUUAUAUUUUUAAAUACCAU